rnacentral:rRNA from 1 species
GACAGAGGGUGCAAACGUUUAUUCGGAAUUAUUGGGCGUAAAGGGCGCGUAGGCGGCCUGGCAAGUGGAAGGUGAAAUCCCUCGGCUUAACCGAGGAACUGCCCUCCAAACUGCUUGGCUUGAGUCCGGGAGAGGUGAGUGGAAUUCCCAGUGUAGCGGUGAAAUGCGUAGAUAUUGGGAGGAACACCGGUGGCGAAGGCGGCUUUCUGGACAGUAACUGACGCUGGGGGCGCGAAAAGCUAGGGGGAGCAAACAGG